ACGAAGGGGGCUAGCGUUGCUCGGAAUGACUGGGCGUAAAGGGCGCGUAGGCGGAUCUGACAGUCAGGCGUGAAAUUCCCGGGCUCAACCUGGGGGCUGCGCUUGAUACGUGAGGUCUUGAGUGGGGAAGAGGGUCGUGGAAUUCCCAGUGUAGAGGUGAAGUUCGUAGAUAUUGGGAAGAACACCGGUGGCGAAGGCGGCGACCUGGUCCUUUUACCGACGCUGAGGCGCGAAAGCGUGGGGAGCAAACAGGA
rnacentral:rRNA from 1 species